rnacentral:rRNA from 1 species
UACGUAGGUGGCAAGCGUUGUCCGGAAUUAUUGGGCGUAAAGGGCUCGCAGGCGGUUUCUUAAGUCUGAUGUGAAAGCCCCCGGCUCAACCGGGGAGGGUCAUUGGAAACUGGGAGACUUGAGUGCAGAAGAGGAAAGUGGAAUUCCAUGUGUAGCGGUGAAAUGCGUAGAGAUAUGGAGGAACACCAGUGGCGAAGGCGACUUUCUGGUCUGUAACUGACACUGAGGCGCGAAAGCGUGGGGAGCAAACAGG